ACGGGAGGCAGCAGUGGGGAAUAUUGGGCAAUGGGCGAAAGCCUGACCCAGCAACGCCGCGUGAAGGAAGAAGGUCUUCGGAUUGUAAACUUCUUUUAUGGGGGACGAACAAAUGACGGUACCUCAUGAAUAAGCCACGGCUAACUACGUGCCAGCAGCCGCGGUAAUACGUAGGUGGCAAGCGUUAUCCGGAUUUACUGGGUGUAAAGGGCGCGUAGGCGGGAAGGCAAGUCAGAUGUGAAAUCCAUGAGCUCAACUCAUGAACUGCAUUUGAAACUGUCUUUCUUGAGUGUCGGAGAGGUAGAUGGAAUUCCUAGUGUAGCGGUGAAAUGCGUAGAUAUUAGGAAGAACACCAGUGGCGAAGGCGAUCUACUGGACGAUAACUGACGCUGAGGCGCGAAAGCGUGGGGAGCAAACAGGAUUAGAUACCCUGGUA
rnacentral:rRNA from 1 species